GCUUACGGCCAUACCACCCUGAACACGCCCGACCUUGUCUGAUCUCGGAAGCUAAGCAGGGUCGGGCCUGGUCAGUACUUGGAUGGGAGACCGCCUGGGAAUACCAGGUGCUGUAAGCU
ensembl:rRNA 5S_rRNA 5S ribosomal RNA